GCAGGAAGAUGAGGCGGCCCCGGCUGUCCGCCCGUCCCUGGGAGGGGGCCUCGCCCAGGCGAGCCGUCCCCCGCCUGAAGAUCCCCUUUGGCUGGGGAGGAAGGAAAUGAGGACACGCGUGGGCCCCUGCAGGCCACUUUCCACUGCAAAAGGUUUUAAACAGCAAAAACCACUGUACGCUUCACAGAAGUGGAGGAAAAGGAAGUUAUGCCGGUUAAACUGUGUUUUAAAGACCAUGUAAGUUAACUGGUCGGUGCCCUGGGUGUGAGCUCAGCCUGGAGGUGCCACAGGACUUUGUGCACUUGGAAUAUGUAACAGAGAGGAAAAAAAAAAAAAUCCAUAAAAUCCAGUAGGAAAGUAAACAGGGUGGCUGUGGCGCAAUACUGACAGAAGUUGGGCUGCGCAUUCCCAGGCUGGAAGCAUACUCCAGCAAAAAGUUACCUUCCGCUUCAUUUAUUAAUGGAAACAAAAAGGUUAAAGCAGCUACACCAGUUGAAGCCAUUGUACAUAAAUGCGCAUUGUCGGGGGAACAGUCCCACGCCGAGCAGCUGCCGCAGCCCCCCCAUCUGCUGUGUUGCCCCGUGUCUGCCCCACGUCACCCGAGGCGGUUGGGACCCUCGGCCCCACCGCACACACCGCCCAAGGUAACGGCUGGCGGAGCCAGUUCCGGAGCCUCUCCCCUCCUUGGGCUGCUCACGGCGUAACCGGCCCAUCCCGCCAUGCCAAACUCGGGGCUACGCGGGCCGUGAUCUAUGCUCGCUAUUCUUUUACUUGCUAGAACUCAUUAUUUUUGCAGGCUACGACUUCUCAGUUACGCCAUGAAAGGCUGCAUGGUAGCUCUGCUGAUUCUGAUGACGAGGUGUGCCUCAUACGAUGUGUUUAUUUCCAGUAAGACUGUCUGAGCGCUGGAAACAGCCGUUUCAGUGGGUUACGAUGUUGCUACUGAGAGGUUUCCAUUGCAAUCUUAUGCGCUGCUUGAAAAAGACUAUUCUUACAAAACAUGAACCACUUGGUUACAACCAUGCAAACCACAUAAACACAGCGCCAGGAUUUCAUCGUGCUCAGCCACUCGCUCCGUCCCUGUUUUUUAUUUGGAAGAGAAGCCAUCGGCGUGCUGUUCUGGCAGAGGCCGCCCCCACCCUGCCAAGGCACCGGCUGUCCCCGCUCCUGAGCGAGUGGCUGGAAGCGGCCCCUCUUGGGGCCGGGCCGCUCGGCGGGGCAGCAGCAGGGUGCCCUAACUGAGGAGAAGGGCGAAGCGGCCCCGGCUUUGGGUGAGGGCGGUGCCUCCCCGCGCCGCCAUCACCCCCUCAGCCCGCCCGGCUGUCGCAACGGUCUCGCAACGGUCCCGCGACGCCGCGACCGGGAAAUUCCCUCCGCUUGCAUCACUUCUCGGAACGACCGCACCCUCACCUCCCCGCUGGCCGUAUCCCUCCGCGGCCGCACGCCCGGGCCGGGACUACGUCCCCGCGGUCGUAACUACACCCGAACUGAAAGGAAAAUCCCGCCCCGGCAGACAGCUUCGGAAUCUGAUUGGCUCUCUCGGCCUGAGUGGCAGAGCCCCCGUCCCGGCCCCCGUCCGCCAUUUUGUGUGGGGGAGUGGGGUGGUGUCCGCUUACCCGCCCGUGUCCGCGGGUGUCCCACCGGGCACAGCGCUGUCCCCUGGCACGGUGCGGGGCCUGGCGGCAGCCGCCCCCCUCAGCCGCGGGGUUGGGCUGGCCCUGUGGGUAUCACCCCGGCGGGCAGGACGGGGCUGGGAGGGGGGGCGGCCCUGUGGGGUUCCGGCGCCUUUUCCUGCCGGUGGCGCGGCGGUGUCGCCGCCUCCACAGGCCUCUGUGGAGAAGGAGAUGCGGCCGGCGCAGGCCUUGUCUGGAGCAAGGACCUCCUCUCUUCAGAAGUCCGUCUGAGCUCCCUUCCGUCUGGGCACGUUCUGCUGGUUUCUAUUCAUGCUCUCCCAGCCUAGAAGGGCCCGGAGUCCCACACAUUCGCAGCAAUGCAUUGAACCCGUCUCUCAUGAGCCAGCGUGUGUAAUAACUGAGUGGUCUGAUCAGUAAUGCAGCAGCAACUCACCAAACAGCUAUAGACUGCAAAUAAGGAAGUAUCUCAAAGACAAAGCUCAGGGCCCACAAGAUCUGCUAGAGGGGACAGGAUCGCUAUUAACUACCCACGAUAAUUUCAUGCAUGGGCAGGGGACACCUGUCAGUCAGAUGGGCUUCUCAGUGGAGUUUUGACCUUGUGGGACAGGCUGAGAGCUCUGCAGGGAGGGUAAGGUUGCAGUGCUGCAGAGGGCACAGGAAAGAUUUGAUUUUCCUUUUUUUUUGUUCUACAUUGGUUGUUGAGGAUGAGCAAACCUGAUGGGAGCACAGGGCUCACAGGGCAUAAGGUUGCCUAAUCCCCAUGGAGUGGGGCCAGGUUGCAGUAAAAUAAUCAGUUGAGCAAAGGGUCAGGGUUGUUCACUGCUGCCGGGAUUCAUUGUGCUAAGAGAGCCUAAGAUAAAAGCAUUUGUAGAGAAAUACAAAUCCAAGAUUUUUAAUCAGGGACAAGAAAAUUCAGUGCAGGAGCCUCACCUGCCGGGCUUUCACAGGAAUGGCCUUGCUGAAGGAGGCUGAGGUGCGUGUGCUCCUCCUCAGGGCGGCCAGCACGGCCUGUGGAGUAGCUGGGUGCGGCACCUUAUUUUGUGUCAUGGUUACAAUGAUUAGUCAAACUUCCCUGGUUUUACAAGCAAGUCUUUUAGAAACAUCAGCAAGUCCACAGUACGUGCUGUUUGCUUUUUAGCCUUCCUUUCCGUUUAUAGUUUGGGGUUUGAGAGCCAGUCUGUAACUAUCACUCAAACAGUGCUUUUUAUAGAAAUAAAGCAUUUAACUGGGAGGUGCUGUACUUGCAAGAUCAUGACUCAGCAGGGGUUCUAGUUAGUUGGAAGGGUUAGUGUGCUCGCUCUAUGUUCCCAGUCCUUUCGCAAGCUCCCUCCCUUUAGCCAUGUACUGAACAGUCACUGAGAUGUAAAAACAAUUUUACAUAGGUUCAAAAAUUCCCACCACCAACUCAGAACAUCACUAGUCUUUUAGAAACCUGCAGCAGUUCUCUGUGUUGCAUUAACACAGCCAAGAAAAGUCCAGUGAACCCACAACACCAGCACUAAGCAAUGUCAAAAGCAAUUUACAGUCCAUUGAAUGUACUGAAGAUUAAAGAAAUAGUAAUAAAAAGGAGAGCUGGGAAAAAA